UUUACCCUGCCAUGUUCGUGAUUCGAAACAAAGUCCUUGGACCGUAAUUAAAAAAAUCGGAACCUCAAAGUCUGUGGCCACCGACAGGCCUUAACUGGAAGUCAAACGCCAUCGACCCGGUUCCACCUGUUUCACCAGGCAGUUCAAAGGAGCUGUUCCACACGGCAUUACGGUGGGGUUUCU
rnacentral:other from 1 species